AGAGAGUAAACAGUACGUGAAACCGCAUAAAGGUAAACGGGUGGCGUCAAGCUGCUAGCCUGGAGGAUUCAGCUGGUCAUUUUGUGGGGUAUACGUCCUGUGUAUCGCAGUCGGGGAUAGUGAGUAGUCUGCUGGCAAACGGCAGGCCUGGUCGCAAGGCUAGGAUGUACGAUCCACGUGUUUGGUGGUGUACGCUGCUCGGCUAUUGGACUGGAUGGCCGGUGCACUUCCUCCAUUAAGGUGAACACCACGACCGGUGGAACUGCCAGUCUGGUAUAGCCAAGUUGUGUCUAUUUCGGCAUUCGUGCGGAUUAGGCUCAAUCACAGGCAGAUUCGGUGGACGGUGAGUAGACUCACGGGUUUGCUCAUGUUAUCGGUCACUGGCUGUCAACGGGUUUGUCCGCUGAGGUUGCAGUCCUUGGUGGGUGGCCUGGUGGGCUAUUCUGGUAAGAAUAACUGUGCAGGGCACCGGAGUUGUCGGUCUCUAAUCCGGUUGACACGCGCGCUGCAGGUGUGUGUGGAGGUGCCAUUUCGGCCUUUCGUUGCUUGAGUCUGAUUGCCGUGUCGCCUGCGAAAAGUAGGUCCGGUAGUGGCUCGACUACGGUCGGUGCAUGAAGUGGUGCUUCUCUGUCAGUCGGUGUGGACCCAACAGUCUGUGGUGUAGUGGUAGACGAGCUACCCGACCCGUCUUGAAACACGGACCAAGGAGUCUAACAA
rnacentral:rRNA from 2 species